rnacentral:rRNA from 1 species
GGGGAUUAUUGGACAAUGGGCGCAAGCCUGAUCCAGCCAUGCCGCGUGGGUGAAGAAGGCCUUCGGGUUGUAAAGCCCUUUUGUUGGGGAAGACAAGCAGCCGGCCAAUACACGGUUGUUCUGACGGUACCCCAAGAAUAAGCACAGGCGAACUUAGUGCCAGCAGCCGCGGUAAUACGAAGGGUGCAAGCGUUACUCGGAAUUACUGGGCGUAAAGCGUGCGUAGGUGGUGGUUUAAGUCCGUUGUGAAAGCCCUGGGCUCAACCUGGGAACUGCAGUGGAUACUGGAUCACUAGAGUGUGGCAGAGGGUAGUGGAAUUCCCGGUGUAGCAGUGAAAUGCGUAGAGAUCGGGAGGAACACCAGUGGCGAAGGCGACUGCCUGGGCCAACACUGACACUGAGGCACGAGAGCGUGGGGAGCAAACA